UACAGAGGUCCCAAGCGUUGUUCGGAUUCAUUGGGCGUAAAGGGUGCGUAGGUGGCGCCGUAAGUCGGGUGUGAAAUUUCGGAGCUUAACUCCGAAACUGCAUUCGAUACUGCGGUGCUUGAGGACUGGAGAGGAGACUGGAAUUCAUGGUGUAGCAGUGAAAUGCGUAGAGAUCAUGAGGAAGACCAGUGGCGAAGGCGGGUCUCUGGACAGCUCCUGACGCUGAGGCGCGAAGGCUAGGGGAGCAAACGGG
rnacentral:rRNA from 1 species